rnacentral:rRNA from 1 species
AUGGAGGUUCAGUUACAACAUCAGCCCGAUCAGUUGUGUUGGAAACUUACUAGGUCUGGACAAUUUACCGUUAAAUCGAUGUACAUCGAUGUUAUUAACUCGAGUGUCAUUCCUAACUCCAAACAUGUUUGGAAAGUCAAAGUUCCUUUGAAAAUCAAAGUGUUUAUGUGGUUUGUCCAUAAACAGGUUAUUCUAACAAAGGACAACUUGGUUAAGCGCAAUUGGACAGGAUCUACUAGGUGUAGUUUCUGUGAUCGGGAUGAAACCAUUAAGCAUCUAUUCUUUGAGUGCCCGUUGGCAAGGAUUUUGUGGCGCUCAGUGCAAAUUGCCUUUAACAUUACUCCUCCGAGUUCGGUCGGGUCGUUAUUUGGAACGUGGCUGGAUGGGAUAGAGUCCGUUACAGCUAGACACAUUCGUGUAGGAGUUUGUGCGUUGUUAUGGGCAAUUUGGAACUGCAGAAAUGAUUUGGCUUUUAACAGAAUAAACACUAUUCAUUUUUUGCAGGUUGUAUUCCGUGCUUCGGCGUUGAUCCGUAUGUGGUCCCUACUCACUCCGACGGAGGCCAGGGAGCGUUUGGUUACUGGAUCUGUCCGGUGGGAGAUGGUAGCGCGGGAUAUAUUCAACCGGUUUGGAUGGCGGUCAUGUAAUAGGAUAGGCAAUUAG